rnacentral:rRNA from 1 species
UUUCCACAAGACGUGCCACCGGGAUUACCGCCUAUUCGAGGGAUUGAGCAUCAAAUUGACUUAAUUCCCGGUGCUUCACUGCCAAACCGUGCACCAUACCAUACCAAUCCAGAGGAGACGAAGGAGAUUAUGCGUCAAGUACAAGAGCUUCUCGACAAAGGUUAUAUACGCGAAUCCCUUAGUCCUUGUGCUGUUCCUAUUAUUCUAGUGCCGAAAAAGGAUGGUACAUCACGUAUGUGUGUUGAUUGUAGAGGCAUUAAUAAUAUUACUAUUCGUUAUCGUCAUCCUAUUCCUAGGCUAGAUGAUAUGCUUGAUGAAUUGAGUGGCUCUACAAUAUUCUCCAAAGUUGAUUUGCAUAGUGGAUACCAUCAAAUUCGUAUGAAAUUGGGAGAUGAAUGGAAA